AACAAAAAAACACAAAAAACACAU
rnacentral:sRNA from 1 species